rnacentral:lncRNA from 1 species
CAAGACUGGAGUGACCCUCUGAACAUCUACUUCCAGGCAGAUCUAAAGGAGGUAUGUCUAAAUCUCCAGGUCUGGAUGAAGAUGGAAGCUACAUCAUGUUCAAGUUCCAGCAGCCGUCCCAUUCUGGCUUUGAGGAACUCCGAGAACUUGCAGCUCAUGGACAAUCGGUAGCCUUCGACUUGAAGAAACUCCCAAGCCGGGGAGCAGACAGCAAUCUCGCCCCAAGGGAGCUUCUGGUUUGAUAGUGGAGACGCUGAAAACACUAGCCUAAAGGGGACUCCUCGCUCCUCUUGCCACAUACACAGAUGGCAAUGCACAUCCACGGAGCUCCUGCCCACUGAGCAGGAAGGAUGAAGAGAGGCAACCAUAUCCUGGAAGAAACCACCUGGACCACGGGACACUUUUGUGCCUCUGAGAUCGGAAGUGGAAUGAAGGAGGCCUAUUCGGAAAGCGACCUGUGGCCUGGGGAGAUGGUUUCAUGGGUAAAAUGUCCACUGGGCAAGCACAAGGAGCUGGGGUCAGAUGCCCAGCACUCGCAGGGGAUAGAGGCAGAUGAAUCUCCAGGACUUAGUGGCCAGCCUGGCCAAAGCAGGGUGCUUCAGGUUCAAUGAGAGACCUUGUUUCACAAACACGUAUUUCUGUGCUAUGUGUCAUCCUAAGAUGCCUCUAACAUCACGCCAUAAAAGUGUG